rnacentral:rRNA from 1 species
GACGAACGCUGGCGGCGUGCUUAACACGUGCAAGUCGAACGGAAAGGCCCUGCUUUUGUGGGGUGCUCGAGUGGCGAACGGGUGAGUAACACGUGAGUAACCUGCCCUUGACUUUGGGAUAACUUCAGGAAACUGGGGCUAAUACCGGAUAGGAGCUCCUGCUGCAUGGUGGGGGUUGGAAAGUUUCGGCGGUUGGGGAUGGACUCGCGGCUUAUCAGCUUGUUGGUGGGGUAGUGGCUUACCAAGGCUUUGACGGGUAGCCGGCCUGAGAGGGUGACCGGCCACAUUGGGACUGAGAUACGGCCCAGACUCCUACGGGAGGCAGCAGUGGGGAAUAUUGCACAAUGGGCGGAAGCCUGAUGCAGCAACGCCGCGUGCGGGAUGACGGCCUUCGGGUUGUAAACCGCUUUCGCCUGUGACGAAGCGUGAGUGACGGUAAUGGGUAAAGAAGCACCGGCUAACUACGUGCCAGCAGCCGCGGUGAUACGUAGGGUGCGAGCGUUGUCCGGAUUUAUUGGGCGUAAAGGGCUCGUAGGUGGUUGAUCGCGUCGGAAGUGUAAUCUUGGGGCUUAACCCUGAGCGUGCUUUCGAUACGGGUUGACUUGAGGAAGGUAGGGGGGAAUGGAAUUCCUGGUGGAGCGGUGGAAUGCGCAGAUAUCAGGAGGAACACCAGUGGCGAAGGCGGUUCUCUGGGCCUUUCCUGACGCUGAGGAGCGAAAGCGUGGGGAGCGAACAGGCUUAGAUACCCUGGUAGUCCACGCUGUAAACGGUGGGUACUAGGUGUGGGGUCCAUUCCACGGGUUCCGUGCCGUAGCUAACGCUUUAAGUACCCCGCCUGGGGAGUACGGCCGCAAGGCUAAAACUCAAAGGAAUUGACGGGGCCCCGCACAAGCGGCGGAGCAUGCGGAUUAAUUCGAUGCAACGCGUAGAACCUUACCUGGGUUUGACAUGGAUCGGGAGUGCUCAGAGAUGGGUGUGCCUCUUUUGGGGUCGGUUCACAGGUGGUGCAUGGCUGUCGUCAGCUCGUGUCGUGAGAUGUUGGGUUAAGUCCCGCAACGAGCGCAACCCUUGUUCACUGUUGCCAGCACGUUAUGGUGGGGACUCAGUGGAGACCGCCGGGGUCAACUCGGAGGAAGGUGGGGAUGACGUCAAGUCAUCAUGCCCCUUAUGUCCAGGGCUUCACGCAUGCUACAAUGGCUGGUACAGAGAGUGGCGAGCCUGUGAGGGUGAGCGAAUCUCGGAAAGCCGGUCUCAGUUCGGAUUGGGGUCUGCAACUCGACCUCAUGAAGUCGGAGUCGCUAGUAAUCGCAGAUCAGCAACGCUGCGGUGAAUACGUUCCCGGG